GCAGUCCCGAAGGCCGGCCACUCCCAGCCAAGAAAGAAAGACGACGGCGACACGCAUAGGUACGCCGUACAAGGAACCAUUCGCAUGGGCCUCCUCGACCAGCUCUGGGACGAGACGGUCGCCGGCCCACGGCCGGACCACGGCUUCAGCAAGCUCCGGAAAUACUCCUCCUUCUCGCCCUCGAGCCCGGCGGCCGCAGACGUCGCGCCGGCGGUGACCCGCAGCAUCACCAUCGCCCGGCCGCCGUCUCUCUCCCUCCCGUCCGGCGAGUCGAGCUCCGUGCCGUCCACCCCGGCCAGUGCGCCGGACUCCCCGUUCGCAGCAGGCACCGGUAGCACGCCGAGGGUGGACGGCUGGAGGGCGUUCCGCCGGAAAUCCAAGAUGGCCAACGUCGACGCCGUCCAGGCAGAGGCGACCGCCGGGCCCAGGAGCCCAACCGUGUACGACUGGUGCGUUUAAACGUCACCUUCACUCUCACCCCAUGCUGCUUGCACCAUACGAAUGAUGAUCCCAUACACAAAAAACUCUCUCACCCCAUGCUGCUUGCACCAUACGAAUGAUGAUGCAUACACAAAAACUACCUACGUCAGACCAAUCAUUCCGUUGAAAGAAGAUAAAGAACAUAUGGCAGAAGGGUCACCGUGGUAGGUGGUGGUUCCGUUUAACUUCGGAUCGCCGUGCUUGCAGGGUGGUGAUCAGUUCAUUGGACCGAUAAUAAAGAAGCACAACCGGAGUGUGAAAUAAUCGAUCGAAGAAGGGGAGGAGGUAGCUGGCGUGUUUGAGGCCGCGUGUUCGUCACGUCAUAUGUAUACCUGCUAUUGUGUAAUCGUUGUGUUAACUAGGUGCACUAUCUUUUCUCUUCCUUUACGUAGUUGUGCGCCCUUUCGGGGGGCCAAAGUAUGUGAUGUGGUUAUCAGUAGUAGGCUCCGAUCAAGAUGUAUUGCCAUCACAAAGGCGCCCUUUAUUUUAUAUGGAGGAGAUGACCGUUGAAAUGGGGUUGCAAUGCAAGUGUUCGAUCAUCCUUCCUUUUCCUACUAUAAUUGUCCAUGUAUUGUAAUUGAGUACCAUGUAUGUAUGGAGUUAAAUGCAACAAAUAACCCUAAUUUUGCCACCGU
rnacentral:rRNA from 1 species